rnacentral:rRNA from 1 species
GCGGCCUACGGGGCGCAGCAGUGAGGAAUAUUGGUCAAUGGGCGAGAGCCUGAACCAGCCAAGUCGCGUGAAGGAUGAAGGAUCUAUGGUUUGUAAACUUCUUUUAUAUGGGAAUAAAGUGAGGAACGUGUUCCUUUUUGUAUGUACCAUAUGAAUAAGCAUCGGCUAACUCCGUGCCAGCAGCCGCGGUAAUACGGAGGAUCCGAGCGUUAUCCGGAUUUAUUGGGUUUAAAGGGAGCGUAGAUGGGUUGUUAAGUCAGUUGUGAAAGUUUGCGGUUCAACCGUAAAACUGCAGUUGAAACUGG